rnacentral:lncRNA from 1 species
CUUCCUCUCACACUCACACACAAUCCACUCAGCAAAUAGAUGAGAAUUCUUUACACAAAUCUUGUGAAUUAGGUGAUAUUCAAAUUCAAAUGGUUUGAAAUUCGCUGUCCACUUGAACAAUGGUAACAAGGCCUGAGCUGGGGAGGAGAUGAAGGAAACAAGAGUGCUGGCACCACAGCUCGCCAAGUUUUCCGGGCCCUGGCAGUCUCGGAUCUCUCAAGAGAAGCUGACCGGCGGGACACACUUCCCUAAAUGGUGAGCUGUAUUGAAAGUACCUUGGCCCUACUCAGACGGAAACAUCAUCCCGCUUUGGUUCACCGGAGAUUCCUACAGGUUAGCUCGCUCCAGUUCCAAAAUGCAAACGUUCAGGGGGUCUCAGAUGUCAGUCACUCACACCUCAGCGUAAUUUACUCAAAGUAGCUGGUCUUUUCCGUCUUUAAAGUCAUCGGGCCUAAGGAAAUUAAUAUUUAAAUAGAAAAACUCGGAAACUGGAAGGGAAUCAAAGAUUUUUGGAGUCAGAUCCAAAACCGAGAAGUGCAUGAAAGGCUGACGGAGUUCUCGGAAUGAGGGAGGCCAGAGGCGGAAAGGGGUCAAGAAUUCCACAUCUCUCUGAAGAUGUAGCCAGUGUACCCCUGAGCCAGAUGGCAGCCAAGGUUUAAGAAAGCAAACCUAGGUAAAACCCAAACAACUCUGCUCCUGCCGCGCCGGCGCAGAUGGCUGCCACCCCAGCAGCAUGCUGUUCAGGUCUCUGCUGUCCUAGGGAACACCCAGCAGAGGAGCGACGGCGCUGAACGCGGCGUCCUCUCCUAUUCAGCGCCCGUGUAUGUUAAUUGUGUUAUACCAUUUAAUUCUAACAUCGGUCUCAAAAGAGCUCUUAAUGAGAAAAGCAUAUACAACAUGGAUCACUUUGCUAUUCAGC